CCGCCCCCGGGUGGCUCAGCCCAGCUGCUGCCUGGGAAGGUCCUAGUGCCUCUGGCCGCCCCUAGCAUGUCAGUGCGGGGUGGAGGGGCCGGCCAGCCGCUGCCACUGGUGAGCCCGCCCUUCUCAGUACCUGUGCAGAAUGGUGCCCAGCCCCCCAGCAAGAUCAUCCAGCUGACCCCGGUGCCUGUGAGCACACCCAGCGGCCUGGUGCCGCCCCUGAGCCCAGCCACACUCCCUGGACCCACCUCUCAGCCUCAGAAGGUCCUGUUGCCCUCCUCCACCAGAAUCACCUAUGUGCAGUCAGCGGGCGGGCACACGCUGCCCCUGGGUACCAGCCCUGCGUCCAGCCAGGCUGGAACAGUCACCUCGUACGGGCCCACGAGCUCUGUAGCUCUAGGCUUCACCUCGCUGGGGCCCAGCGGCCCCGCCUUCGUGCAGCCCCUGCUCUCAGGU
rnacentral:lncRNA from 1 species